GGGGCUAUAGCUCAGUGGUAGAGCACUUGCCUUGCACUCGUGAAGCCCUGGGUUCUAUUCCCAGCACCA
rnacentral:tRNA from 1 species